GCCGGGCGCGGUGGCGCGCGCCUGUAGGCCCUGCUACUCAGGAGGCUGAGGCAGGAGGAUCGCUUGAGCCCAGGAGUUCUGGGCUGUAGUGCGCUAUGCCGAUCGGGUGUCCGCACUAAGUUCGGCAUCAAUAUGGUGACCUCCCGGGAGCGGGGGACCACCAGGUUGCCUAAGGAGGGGUGAACCGGCCCAGGUCGGAAUGCGACAGGGAUGUCCACUCUCACCACUGCUAUUCAAAAUAGUAUUAGAAGUCCUAGCCACAGCAAUCAGACAACAAAAAGAAAUCAAAGGCAUCCA
rnacentral:sRNA from 1 species